rnacentral:rRNA from 1 species
CCAGACUCCUACGGGAGGCAGCAGUGGGGAAUAUUGCACAAUGGGGGGAACCCUGAUGCAGCGACGCCGCGUGGGUGAAGGAGCACCUCGGUGCGUAAAGCCCUAUCGGCAGGGAAGAAACAGACGGUACCUGACUAAGAAGCCCCGGCUAACUACGUGCCAGCAGCCGCGGUAAUACGUAGGGGGCAAGCGUUAUCCGGAUUUACUGGGUGUAAAGGGAGCGUAGACGGCAGUGCAAGUCUGGAGUGAAAGGCGGGGGCUCAACCCCCGGACUGCUCUGGAAACUGUACGGCUGGAGUGCAGGAGAGGUAAGUGGAAUUCCUAGUGUAACGGUGAAAUGCGUAGAUAUUAGGAGGAACACCAGUGGCGAAGGCGGUCUGCUGGACAGCAACUGACGCUGAGGCGCGAAAGCGUGGGGAGCAAACAGGAUUAGAUACCCGCGUAG